rnacentral:rRNA from 1 species
CGGGGGGGGGUGCUAAUACAUGCAGUCGAACGCGUUGGCCCAAUUGAUUGAUGGUGCUUGCACCUGAUUGAUUUUGGUCGCCAACGAGUGGCGGACGGGUGAGUAACACGUAGGUAACCUGCCCAGAAGCGGGGGACAACAUUUGGAAACAGAUGCUAAUACCGCAUAACAGCGUUGUUCGCAUGAACAACGCUUAAAAGAUGGCUUCUCGCUAUCACUUCUGGAUGGACCUGCGGUGCAUUAGCUUGUUGGUGGGGUAACGGCCUACCAAGGCGAUGAUGCAUAGCCGAGUUGAGAGACUGAUCGGCCACAAUGGGACUGAGACACGGCCCAUACUCCUACGGGAGGCAGCAGUAGGGAAUCUUCCACAAUGGGCGCAAGCCUGAUGGAGCAACACCGCGUGAGUGAAGAAGGGUUUCGGCUCGUAAAGCUCUGUUGUUAAAGAAGAACACGUAUGAGAGUAACUGUUCAUACGUUGACGGUAUUUAACCAGAAAGUCACGGCUAACUACGUGCCAGCAGCCGCGGUAAUACGUAGGUGGCAAGCGUUAUCCGGAUUUAUUGGGCGUAAAGAGAGUGCAGGCGGUUUUCUAAGUCUGAUGUGAAAGCCUUCGGCUUAACCGGAGAAGUGCAUCGGAAACUGGAUAACUUGAGUGCAGAAGAGGGUAGUGGAACUCCAUGUGUAGCGGUGGAAUGCGUAGAUAUAUGGAAGAACACCAGUGGCGAAGGCGGCUACCUGGUCUGCAACUGACGCUGAGACUCGAAAGCAUGGGUAGCGAACAGGAUUAGAUACCCUGGUAGUCCAUGCCGUAAACGAUGAGUGCUAGGUGUUGGAGGGUUUCCGCCCUUCAGUGCCGGAGCUAACGCAUUAAGCACUCCGCCUGGGGAGUACGACCGCAAGGUUGAAACUCAAAGGAAUUGACGGGGGCCCGCACAAGCGGUGGAGCAUGUGGUUUAAUUCGAAGCUACGCGAAGAACCUUACCAGGUCUUGACAUCUUGCGCCAACCCUAGAGAUAGGGCGUUUCCUUCGGGAACGCAAUGACAGGUGGUGCAUGGUCGUCGUCAGCUCGUGUCGUGAGAUGUUGGGUUAAGUCCCGCAACGAGCGCAACCCUUGUUACUAGUUGCCAGCAUUAAGUUGGGCACUCUAGUGAGACUGCCGGUGACAAACCGGAGGAAGGUGGGGACGACGUCAGAUCAUCAUGCCCCUUAUGACCUGGGCUACACACGUGCUACAAUGGACGGUACAACGAGUCGCGAACUCGCGAGGGCAAGCAAAUCUCUUAAAACCGUUCUCAGUUCGGACUGCAGGCUGCAACUCGCCUGCACGAAGUCGGAAUCGCUAGUAAUCGCGGAUCAGCAUGCCGCGGUGAAUACGUUCCCGGGCCUUGUACACACCGCCCGUCACACCAUGAGAGUUUGUAACACCCAAAGUCGGUGGGGUAACCUUUUAGGAGCCAGCCGCAUAAAAGGGGA